UGUGAAGGAGGACAUGUCAUGAAGACAUUCGGUGCAACUUAAGAGGACACAAAGGAGAUGGCAAGAUGGAGGCAGAUGAACCGCUAUGGCGACCCCUGAAGGAAGAAGCUGAAAGACGAAUACGGUCACAGACGAAAGCGAUUACAAAUCUUUGGGUCUUGAUUUGUCCUCGGCGUCUCACUCUGACCCUGAGCCAUGACCGGGAAUUCACACCUGAGCUGUUGAACCUGAAGGAUUCUGUAACACACACACAUACACACACACACACACAAACGCACACACAAACACAAACACACACACACAGUGAGAGAGGGUGAUCAUCAGUGAUAUGUCAUUUCUCAUGUCCGCUGGAACUUGUGGACUGAGACAUGAAUACUAACACAAGGACAACGGCACAAGAUUCACAACACCAAGAAGACAACAUUAUGCAAGAGCAAAAAAUGAUACAAAUAUAAAUAUACGUAGAAAGUAAUAAACAAGAAAACACAAGAUAAAACAAGUUAAAAAGACAACAUCACAUGGUAACUCUUGGAAUUAGAUUAAUGUGAUGAUGAAGUACAAAUUAAUGACAUAUGAAGUAAUGAUUAAGUACUGACCAUUACCUAAAUAUUAUUAUUAAUACAUGAUUGGUUAAAUAUUACCAAAUGAGUAUUUAAUACCUUAAUUUACUAUUUAAUUAUAAUUAAGUACUGGGUAUUACCUAAUUAUUUUUACCUAUAUGAUUAAUUUAAUAUUAAUCAUUAAUAUUAAUCAUUAAUAUUAAUCAUUACAUGUGGCAUAAACACUGACCUUGUCAGGACAUGUUAUCCUCAUAGGGACCGAAACCUGGUCCUAAUGAGGCACAACCUCAUUUAUGAGUUGGUUGAGUUUAAGGCUAAGCACUUACUAGUUAUGGUUAAUGAUAAUUCUGUGUGUGUUUGAUUUUGAACACUUACUGUCAGUAAUGAGGGAGUGCACAGCGGUGACUUGUCUCCGUCCUAAGCCGUGACUCCUGGACAGCACACAGUCCACAUAGAUGUCCCAAAAAACCCGGGCCAGGUCCCAGUAGAGCGCCGUGUGUUUGCUGUUGUCUGACGCCCUGAGGAAAACCAUCAGCUCCCAGAAGGCGGGCACCGUGUCAGCGAUCCUCGGGGAGCGCAUCUUCAGCAACAGCGCCGAGGAGAAGUCCCAGCACUGCGGGUUGGCUCGGUGGGCCGCCAGGGGGUCCACCUGACCCGGCUUCUGGCCCUGGAGCGGCACGGCACACAUGGAGCCCAGCACAAACACUGUGGCCAAGGGUAUGUUCAGGAGCACUGGGACCAUCUGCAGAGGACGCAACACAGGAGAACUUAAGGCCAUCUGUCCACCAGCUGAAGCUCAACAGAGGAUGGGUGAAGCAACGGGACAACGACCCAAAGCACAGAAGUAAAUCAACGACAGAAUGGCUUCAACAGAAGAAAAUAGUUCUGACCUCAACCCAAGUGAGAUGCUAUGGCAUGACUUCAAGAGAGCGAUUCACACCGUUGUGCAGCUCUGAUCUGCAACUUCAGGAAACAUUGGGUUGAGGCUAUUAAAUUCAAGGGUUCACAUACUUUUUUUUUGCAACUGUAAAUCCAUCACACAUUUUCAUAUAAGUGUUCAUCUUUAUAUCGCAUUUGUUCCAAUCUCUUUUUAAAGUUCACUGACUCACUUUCAUUUGAAAUGUCUGGAUUGAGCAUGAGGGCUACUUAUUUUUCUGUCUUAGCAAAGAGCAUGAAAUGUACGACGUCAGUUUCAGU